rnacentral:rRNA from 1 species
GACGAACGCUGGCGGCGUGCUUAACACAUGCAAGUCGAGCGGUAAGGCCUCUUUUGGGGUACACGAGCGGCGAACGGGAGAGUAACACGGGGGUGACCUGCCCUCAUCUCUGGGAUAAGCCUGGGAAACUGGGUCUAAUACCGGAUAUGACCUUUCCCCGCAUGGGGUUUGGUGGAAAGUUUUUUCGGCUGGGGAUGGGCCGGCGGCCUAGCAGCUUGUUGGUGGGGGGAUGGCCUACCAAGGGGACGACGGGUAGCGGGCCUGAGAGGGCGGCCGGCCAGCCCGGGCUUGAGCCACGGGCCGGACUCGUGAGGGAGGCAGCAGGGGGGAAUAUUGGGCGCUGGGCGGCAGCCUGACGCAGCGCGGCCGCGUGGGGGAUGACUGCGUUCGGGUUGUAGACCUCUUUCGAGCCGGACGGAUUUUGACGGUAGGGGUAGAAGAAGCACCGGCUAACUACGUG